rnacentral:tRNA from 1 species
GCUCGGAUGGUGAAAUGGUAGACACGCAAGACUUAAAAUCUUGUAACUGUAAUGGUUGUGCGGGUUCAAGUCCCGCUCCGAGUAC